rnacentral:rRNA from 1 species
AUUGAACGCUGGCGGCAGGCCUAACACAUGCAAGUCGAGCGGCAGCGGGAAAGUAGCUUGCUACUUUUGCCGGCGAGCGGCGGACGGGUGAGUAAUGCCUGGGAAAUUGCCCAGUCGAGGGGGAUAACAGUUGGAAACGACUGCUAAUACCGCAUACGCCCUACGGGGGAAAGCAGGGGACCUUCGGGCCUUGCGCGAUUGGAUAUGCCCAGGUGGGAUUAGCUAGUUGGUGAGGUAAUGGCUCACCAAGGCGACGAUCCCUAGCUGGUCUGAGAGGAUGAUCAGCCACACUGGAACUGGGACACGGUCCAGACUCCUACGGGAGGCAGCAGUGGGGAAUAUUGCACAAUGGGGGAAACCCUGAUGCAGCCAUGCCGCGUGUGUGAAGAAGGCCUUCGGGUUGUAAAGCACUUUCAGCGAGGAGGAAAGGUUGAUGCCUAAUACAUAUCAACUGUGACGUUACUCGCAGAAGAAGCACCGGCUAACUCCGUGCCAGCCGCCGCCGUAAGAC